GAUAAACGCUGGCGGCGUGCCUAAUGCAUGCAAGUCGAACGGGGUGAACUUCGGUUCACCGAGUGGCGGACGGGUGAGGAACACGUACGAGACCUACCCUGCAGUGGGGAAUAACCCUUCGAAAGAGGGGCUAAUGCCGCAUACGCUCAGGCGGGUAAUGCCGGCUGAGGAAAGCCUGCGGGUGCUGGAGGAGGGGCGUGCGGCCGAUUAGCUGGUUGGUGGGGUAACGGCCUACCAAGGCUGCGAUCGGUAGCUGGUCUGAGAGGAUGGUCAGCCA
rnacentral:rRNA from 1 species